AUUGAACGCUGGCGGCAUGCUUUACACAUGCAAGUCGAACGAUGGCCCUUAGCUUGCUCUGGCGGUUAGUGGCGAACGGGUGAGUAAUAUAUCGGAACGUGCCCUGUAAUGGGGGAUAACUAGUCGAAAGCUUAGCUAAUACCGCAUACGCCCUGAGGGUGAAAGUAGGGGAUCUUAGGACCUUACGUUAUAAGAGCGGCCGAUAUCGGAUUAGCUAGUUGGUGGGGUAAUGGCCUACCAAGGCGACGAUCAGUAGCUGGUCUGAGAGGACGACCAGCCACACUGGAACUGGGACACGGUCCAGACUCCUACGGGAGGCAGCAGUGGGGAAUUUUGGACAAUGGGCGCAAGCCUGAUCCAGCCAUGCCGCGUGAGGGAAGAAGGCCUUCGGGUUGUAAAGCGCUUUUGUAAGGGAAGAAAUCUUCCCGGCUAAUAAAUCGUGAGGAUGACGGUACCUGGAGAAUAAGCACCGGCUAACUACGUG
rnacentral:rRNA from 1 species